GGUCCGUGAGGUCGAAGAGGAGAACCAGCUUCUCCGCCGUGAACUCAGCCGACCCCCCCGUAGCCCUGCUGGCCCUGGUUCCCAUCACGCCAAUCACCACGGCAACCAGAGCAAGACCCACUCGGAGGAGGGAACAGGGGACAACGAGGCGGGGCUUAAAGCUGGCUCCACGGGCAACAGGUCAGACUGUGUGCAGCAACCACCGGUAGACAAGUGUGAGACCAUUCACGUGGCCAUCGUGUGCGCCGGGUACAACGCCAGUCGUGAUGUGGUGACACUCGUCAAGUCUGUCCUUUUUCACAGACGGAACCCUCUCCCACUUCCACAUCAUAACAGACUCUACUGCCCAGCAGAUCCUAGCGUCUCUGUUCCAUACCUGGAUGGUCCCUGCAGUCAGGGUAGACUUCUACGAUGCAGACGAACUCAAGGCUGAGGUGUCAUGGAUCCCCAACAAGCAUUACUCCGGUAUCUACGGUCUGAUGAAGCUGGUGCUCACGAAGACCUUACCCCCAGACCUGCAGAAAGUCAUCGUCCUGGACACAGACAUCACCUUCGCUACAGACAUCGCUGAGCUCUGGGCCGUCUUCCACAAGUUCAAAGGUGAGGCUAAUACAUCAUUUCCUGUUGGGAUAAUUGUGCUUCCUGUUGCUUCUACCAGGGGUUGUAUUCAU